GUCGAACGCUUUUUCUUUCACCGGAGCUUGCUCCACCGAAAGAAAAGGAGUGGCGAACGGGUGAGUAACACGUGGGUAACCUGCCCAUCAGAAGGGGAUAACACUUGGAAACAGGUGCUAAUACCGUAUAACAAUCGAAACCGCAUGGUUUCAAUUUGAAAGGCGCUUUUGCGUCACUGAUGGAUGGACCCGCGGUGCAUUAGCUAGUUGGUGAGGUAACGGCUCACCAAGGCAACGAUGCAUAGCCGACCUGAGAGGGUGAUCGGCCACAUUGGGACUGAGACACGGCCCAAACUCCUACGGGAGGCAGCAGUAGGGAAUCUUCGGCAAUGGACGCAAGUCUGACCGAGCAACGCCGCGUGAGUGAAGAAGGUUUUCGGAUCGUAAAACUCUGUUGUUAGAGAAGAACAAGGAUGAGAGUAGAAUGUUCAUCCCUUGACGGUAUCUAACCAGAAAGCCACGGCUAACUACGUGCCAGCAGCCGCGGUAAUACGUAGGUGGCAAGCGUUGUCCGGAUUUAUUGGGCGUAAAGCGAGCGCAGGCGGUUUCUUAAGUCUGAUGUGAAAGCCCCCGGCUCAACCGGGGAGGGUCAUUGGAAACUGGGAAACUUGAGUGCAGAAGAGGAGAGUGGAAUUCCAUGUGUAGCGGUGAAAUGCGUAGAUAUAUGGAGGAACACCAGUGGCGAAGGCGGCUCUCUGGUCUGUAACUGACGCUGAGGCUCGAAAGCGUGGGGAGCAAACAGGAUUAGAUACCCUGGCAGUCCACGCCGUAAACGAUGAGUGCUAAGUGUUGGAGGGUUUCCGCCCUUCAGUGCUGCAGCUAACGCAUUAAGCACUCCGCCUGGGGAGUACGACCGCAAGGUUGAAACUCAAAGGAAUUGACGGGGGCCCGCACAAGCGGUGGAGCAUGUGGUUUAAUUCGAAGCAACGCGAAGAACCUUACCAGGUCUUGACAUCCUUUGACCACUCUAGAGAUAGAGCUUCCCCUUCGGGGGCAAAGUGACAGGUGGUGCAUGGUUGUCGUCAGCUCGUGUCGUGAGAUGUUGGGUUAAGUCCCGCAACGAGCGCAACCCUUAUUGUUAGUUGCCAUCAUUUAGUUGGGCACUCUAGCGAGACUGCCGGUGACAAACCGGAGGAAGGUGGGGAUGACGUCAAAUCAUCAUGCCCCUUAUGACCUGGGCUAC
rnacentral:rRNA from 1 species